GACGAACCGAGCGAACGUUAUUCGGAAUCACUGGGCUUAAAGGGCGCGUAGGCGGGCCGUCAAGUCAGGGGUGAAAGCCCCAGCUCAACUGGGGAAGUGCCUCUGAUACUGGCGGCCUCGAGCGAGGUAGGGGCGUGCGGAACUUCCGGUGGAGCGGUGAAAUGCGUAGAUAUCGGAAGGAACACCGGUGGCGAAAGCGGCGCGCUGGACCUCUUCUGACGCUGAGGCGCGAAAGCCAGGGGAGCGAACGGG
rnacentral:rRNA from 1 species